CCGGACCGGCGCACGGGUGAGUAACGCGUAUGCAACUUACCUAUCAGAGGGGGAUAACCCGGCGAAAGUCGGACUAAUACCGCAUGAAGCAGGGAUCCCGCAUGGGAAUAUUUGCUAAAGAUUCAUCGCUGAUAGAUAGGCAUGCGUUCCAUUAGGCAGUUGGCGGGGUAACGGCCCACCAAACCGACGAUGGAUAGGGGUUCUGAGAGGAAGGUCCCCCACAUUGGUACUGAGACACGGACCAA
rnacentral:rRNA from 1 species